rnacentral:rRNA from 1 species
AUUGAACGCUGGCGGCAUGCUUUACACAUGCAAGUCGAACGGUAACGCGGGGGCAACCCUGGCGACGAGUGGCGAACGGGUGAGUAAUACAUCGGAACGUGUCCAGUAGCGGGGGGUAACCUCUCGAAAGAGAGGCUAAUACCGCAUACGCCCUGAGGGGGAAAGCGGGGGACCGCAAGGCCUCGCACUAUUGGAGUGGCCGAUGUCGGAUUAGCUAGUUGGUGGGGUAAAGGCCCACCAAGGCGACGAUCCGUAGCUGGUCUGAGAGGAUGAUCAGCCACACUGGGACUGAGACACGGCCCAGACUCCUACGGGAGGCAGCAGUGGGGAAUUUUGGACAAUGGGGGCAACCCUGAUCCAGCCAUGCCGCGUGAGUGAAGAAGGCCUUCGGGUUGUAAAGCUCUUUCGGACGGAACGAAAUGGUUGCGGUGAAUAUCCGCGACUGAUGACGGUACCGUAAGAAGAAGCACCGGCUAACUACGUGCCAGCAGCCGCGGUAAUAC